GGCGCGUUCGGCUAUGGGUUAGGCUGUCCGGUUUUCACCCGGACGAAGCGGGUUCGAGUCCCGCACGCGCUG
rnacentral:tRNA from 1 species